rnacentral:rRNA from 1 species
AUUGAACGCUGGCGGCAGGCCUAACACAUGCAAGUCGAGCGGGGUUUUCGGACCUAGCGGCGGACGGGUGAGUAAUGCGUAGGAAGCUGCCCGAUAGAGGGGGAUACCAGUUGGAAACGACUGUUAAUACCGCAUAAUGUCUACGGACCAAAGUGUGGGACCUUCGGGCCACAUGCUAUCGGAUGCGCCUACGUGGGAUUAGCUAGUUGGUGAGGUAAUGGCUCACCAAGGCGACGAUCUCUAGCCGGUUUGAGAGGAUGAUCAGCCACACUGGAACUGAGACACGGUCCAGACUCCUACGGGAGGCAGCAGUGGGGAAUAUUGGACAAUGGGCGCAAGCCUGAUCCAGCCAUGCCGCGUGUGUGAAGAAGGCCUUCGGGUUGUAAAGCACCUUCAGCGAGGAGGAAGGGUGGUGUGUUAAUAGCACAUCAUUUUGACGUUACUCGCAGAAGAAGCACCGGCUAACUCUGUGCCAGCAGCCGCCGUAAAAC